rnacentral:rRNA from 1 species
GGGUGUGGCGGGCAGGGGGCGGAGGGAUAACGGAGGGCGCAAGCGUUGUGUGGAUUGAUGGGGCGAAGAGGGCUGGUGGGCGGCGUGUGGCUGCGGUGUGGAAAGCCCGGGGCUGAACCCCGGGUCGGCAGUCGAUACGGGCAGGCGAGAGGGCGGUAGGGGAGAUCGGAAGUCCGGGUGUAGCGGUGAAAUGCGCAGAUAUCAGGAGGAACACCGGUGGCGAAGGCGGAUCUCUGGGCCGAUACUGACGCUGAGGAGCGAAAGCGUGGGGAGCGAACAGGAUUAGAUACCCUUGUAGUC